rnacentral:rRNA from 1 species
GCCGCGUGUAUGAAGAAGGCCUUCGGGUUGUAAAGUACUUUCAGUCGUGAGGAAGGUGGUAGUGUUAAUAGCACUAUCAUUUGACGUUAGCGACAGAAGAAGCACCGGCUAACUCCGUGCCAGCAGCCGCGGUAAUACGGAGGGUGCGAGCGUUAAUCGGAAUUACUGGGCGUAAAGCGCAUGCAGGUGGUUUGUUAAGUCAGAUGUGAAAGCCCGGGGCUCAACCUCGGAAUAGCAUUUGAAACUGGCAGACUAGAGUACUGUAGAGGGGGGUAGAAUUUCAGGUGUAGCGGUGAAAUGCGUAGAGAUCUGAAGGAAUACCGGUGGCGAAGGCGGCCCCCUGGACAGAUACUGACACUCAGAUGCGAAAGCGUGGGGAGCAAACAGGAUUAGAUACCCCGG